CAUUAAGUGGCUGAAAUGUAGCAAGCAUUGGUCUCUUAAACCAAAAUAUAGUAAUUAGACACUACUCUUAAUGA
rnacentral:tRNA from 1 species